GAUGAACGCUGGCGGCGUGCCUAAUACAUGCAAGUCGAGCGAAGCGAGGACGGGUGAGUAACACGUGGAUAACCUCCUAUAAGACUGGGAUAACUUAGGGAAACCGGAGCUAAACCGGAUAAUUAUAGAUGGAUUCGCGGUGCAUUAGCUGGUUGGUAAGGUAACGGCUUACCAAGGCCACGAGGCAUAGCCGACCUGAGAGGGUGAUCGGCCAAACUGGAACUGAGACACGGUCAAGACUCAUACGGGAGGCAGCAGUAGGGAAUCUUCCGCAAUGGGGGAAAGCCUGACGGAGCAAUGCCGCGUGAGUGAUGAAGGUUUUCGGGUCGUAAACCUCUGUUAUGAGGGAAGCGGUACCUAAUCAGAAAGCCACGGCUAACUACGUGCCAGCCGCCGCGGUAAUUC
rnacentral:rRNA from 1 species